GCUACGGGAGGCAGCAGUGAGGAAUAUUGGUCAAUGGACGAGAGUCUGAACCAGCCAAGUAGCGUGAAGGAUGACUGCCCUAUGGGUUGUAAACUUAUUUUAUAAAGGAAUAAAACGAGGCACGUGUGCCUUUUUGCAUGGACUUUAUGAAUAAGGAUCGGCUAACUCCGUGCCAGCAGCCGCGGUAAUACGGAGGAGCCGAGGGUUAUCCGUAUUUAUUGGGGUUAAAGGGAGCGUAGAUGGGUUGUUAAGUCAGUUGUGAAAGGUUGCGGCUCAACCGUAAAAUUGCAAUUGAUACUGGCAGUCUUGAGUAUAGUGGAGGUAGGCGGAAUUCGUGGUGUAGCGGUGAAAUGCUUAGAUAUCACGAAGAACCCCGAUUGCGAAAGCAGCUUACUAAACUGUGACUGACAUUGAUGCUCGAAAGUGUGGGUAUCAAACAGGAUUAGAUACCCUAGUAGUC
rnacentral:rRNA from 1 species